CCUACGGGAGGCUGCAGUGAGGAAUAUUGGUCAAUGGACGAGAGUCUGAACCAGCCAAGUAGCGUGAAGAAUGACUGCCCUAUGGGUUGUAAACUUCUUUUAUAAAGGAAUAAAACGAGGCACGUGUGCCUUUUUGCAUGUACUUUAUGAUUAAGGAUCGGCUAACUCCGUGCCAGAAGCCGCGGUAAUACGGAGGAUCCGAGCGUUAUCCGGAUUUAUUGGGUUUAAAGGGAGCGUCGAUGGGUUGUUAAGUCAGUUGUGAAAGUUUGCGGCUCAAACGUAAAAUUGCAAUUGAUACUGGCAGUCUUGAGUACAGUUGAGGUAGGCGGAAUUCGUGGUGUAGCGGUGAAAUGCUUAGAUAUCACGAAGAACCCCGAUUGCGAAGGCAGCUCACUAAAUUGUGACUGACAUUGAUGCUCGAAAGUGUGGGGAGCAAACAGGAUUAGAUACCCUUGUAGUC
rnacentral:rRNA from 1 species